GGGACACUGGGGGCCGCCUGCUGGGGAAACAAACCCAGAGACGCUGCGUCCCCAACCGGCCAGUAGAGGGCUAAGGAUGACAGCAGGGGUUCUGCCUGCAACACCGGAACAGCAGUCAGCGUGGUCGUGCACACACAAGCCCUCCAGAAAGGCAUGUGGGCUGCCCUCCCAUCCGUGUCCCUCUGGCAGACAAAGCAGAGCGCCCCAGGACGGAGCUGCAUAUGGGCGCUGCUGCGGAGGGAAAAAGAAAAAAAGAAAGUAGUGUCCCGCUACCACUGAUGACUGCCUUGACAGGGAACACAACAGAGAAUCCCUGAUGCAGCAGGAGAGCAAUGGGAUGCAGACUUCAAAUUCUCAUAAAAAGCCCAGACAUAAUGGCCUGACCGAGACUAGAGCGACCCCGGAGGUCAUGGUCCCCAGACCCUCUGUUAGCCCAAGACAGGAACCAUUCCUGAAGCCAACUCUUCAGACAGGGAUUGGACUGGACUAUAAAACAGAAAAUGAUACUGGUGAGGAGCGAGCUUCUUGGCUUAAGUAGACACUUGAGACUAUGUGGGCAGCUGCUGCCUGGCGGGGAGAUGAGAAGGCAGAGGGGGACAGGAGCUGGCUGAAUGGACUCGGGGAAUACAGGCUGGAGAGGAGGAGUGUGCUGUCUCAUUAGGGGGAGAGCAGCUGGGGUUACAUAGCAAGGUACGCAUAAGUUUUUGUAUGAGAGACUGACUUGAUUUGUAAACUUUCACUUAAAGCACAAUAAAAAAAAAAUAGUAGCGUGCCUGGUGCUAAUCCUGGUCGUUACCGUUAUUUUCUUCUUUUUACUUUUCUAUCUUUUCCUAAUAGGCGUGUGAUUUGUGUAUAUGUGUUAACUCUUCAUUGAAGUAUAAAUACAUACAGAAAGCACACGAGUCACAAGCUCUGCGAAUUUUUAAAAAUCUACACACAGUGAACAGGACGAUAGCACAUCCCAGAAACGCCUCGUCCCCUCUUCCAGCCACUCGCCCCCACCAAGCAUAACCGCUCCUGCAAUGUAUUCUUAUAUUUGGAAAUGACAUGUAAAGAUUAAUAAAAGUAAGCCUGCCCUUGUUGUUGUUAGCUGCUGUUGAGUCCGCCCCUGACUCGUGGCACCCCCACGCCCAGCAGAGACACUGCCUCGUCCUGUGCGAACCCUGUGAUUGGUUACAGAUCAGACUGUUGUGACCCACUGGCUGAUUUUUGGGAGCUGAUUGCCAGGACUUUCUCCCUAAUCCAUGUUUGUCUGGAAGCAUCAUAAAAAAAAAAAAAAAAAAAUUUGAAGCAUCAUAGCAACGUGAAAUUUUCCACCAACAAACGGGCGGUGACUGUGCCUGAGGUGCAUUGGCCAGGAACCGAACCUGGGUCUCCAGCAUGGAAGGCGAGGGAUUAUACCACUGAGCCUCCAAUGCCUCAAACAUACAUUGUUGUUGGUCGGUGCUGUCGAGUCAGUAUUGACUCAUAGCAACUCCAUGUGACAGAGUAGAACUGCCCCAUAGGGUUUUACUGGCUGUAAUCUUUAUGGGAGCAGAUCAACAGAUCUUUCUCCCAAGGAGCCACUGGGUAAAUUUGAACCACCAAUCUUUUGGCUAGCGCUGAGCGCUUAAUGGUUGUGCCACAAAAAAAACCCACAAAAACGCCAAAUCUAUUGCCAUCGAGUUAUUUCCAACUCAUAGCCACCCUAUAGGACAGAGUAGAACUGCCCCACAAGGUUUCCUAGGCUAUGAUCUUUGCAGAAGCAGAGGGUCACAUCUUUCUCCCGCAGAGCGGCUGGUGGGUUCAAACCACCAACCUUUCGGUUAGCAGCCAAGCGCUUAACCACAGUGCCACCAGGCUCCUUAAAUAUAUGCUAGAGAUGGACAUUUUAAAACACCCAUCCUUCUUUAUUGCUGAAGGCUUUACCAAAUGGCGCACAGGUCAAAAGUUUGAAGGGGACUCAGUAGUGAGUUUGAUCUUUGGAUUCCUUCAAAAGAGCAGCUCUCGAGAAAGGAGGCAAGUCUCAGAUAAGCGUGGGUGCGAGUGCCUAGGGAUCUGCUGGUGGCCAAACCCUUGGCCCUAUGGUUUCCAAACUAGGCCGCACACUGGAGUCAUAAAAAAGUGAAAUAUCAAAAAUCACUGCUGGCAGGUCCCACCCCCAGAGAUUCCCCUUUAUGUGGUCUGGAGUACGUAUGGCCUGGGCUUUGGAAUUUUCCAAAGAUCGCCAGCGAUUCUGAUGUGCCGACAAGUUUGGGAACCACUGACUCAGCAUAAAAGGAGGAUCCAAAGCCUAUUUUCAGGCUGGUGAGCAAACUAAAAAGACUCACAGAGAUUUCUGGAAAUGCCACAGAAAUUUCUUCUUGAUGGCGUCAUGAACUGUAAAUGGUCCUGGUGACUAUUUCAUGUCUGGAAAUGGAUCAGGCAUACUGCAUAAAUCACACACAUUGUUACAGACAGCCUGUCCCCACAUCCUCCCGGGGAUGGACAGGGGAAUGUGGAAAUAGUGACAACGCUGGCUGCCACCCAGGCUCCCAGAGGGGCCAGAGCUGGUUCUGCAGUCAUGACAGUCACCUCCACUAGAUGGCGCUAAAGCAGGCACUGUAUGUGGGCUGAAAAAGCUACAUUUAAUCCUAUUUCCUUGUUGAACAGUAAUACAAUUUCAGAAAUACUCUCUCCUAAUUACCAGGGGAUUCUAUUACCCUUUGUGUGUGAGAUAAAGAUCAACUUACCUCUCCACUGUGAGGACUUGGAACCUCACCCUGGUGCCUGGCUGUGAUUAUUGUUACCAUCCCCUGCCCUGAGCCGAUUUUGACUCAUUGUGACCCCAUGUGAAAGAGUAGAGCUGCCCCACAGGGUUUCUAGGCUGUCAUCUUUAUAGGGGCAGAUCACAAGGCUUUCUCCUGUGGAGCCACUGGGUGGGUUUGAACCACUGACCUUUCACUUAGCUGCUUAACCUUUGCAUCACCAGGGCUUCUAUCUUGGCUAGGAUGUUAGCCCUGAAUUUUCCCGCUCUCUCCACUUGGCUACACUGUAUUUUCAGAUACGGGUCAGAUUUCUAAGAACCUGACUGUGUUUCUAUGGUGGCUGCUCUGGAGUAGCUGUUUGAAAUCUGUGAACGAAUGGGAAAGGUGUGAUAGGAAUUGGAGAAUGGAAAGGAGGAAGAAAGAGGAUGGUGGAGAAGGGGAGGGAGGCACUGGAAUGCUCCUGUGUUAAAGGUUACCUGGCUUAUGAGUUUGGACUCUGCAUUUUGGGGCUUAUAAUGGUGUUUAAUUCACGUAUUUCCAGCAGGCUUGCUAUCCCAUUGUGCAAAUGCUUCCUGGACAAUCACUAGAAAGACAACUAAUUUUUCAUCUAAGAAAGGAACAUAUGUUUCUGAAAACCGUUGAUUCCCUAGGGAAGUGUUCCAAUUACCUGUCGCUGAGAAAUAAACCACCCUAAAACUUAGUGGCUUAAAGCAACAAUUUAUUAUCUCUCACAGUGGGUUGUGGGUUAUCUGCGCUCAUCAGGGUGGUCCUCACUUGGAGUCUGUCAUGUGGUUGCAGUACCAAUGGAACUGAACAUCUGAGAUGGCUCCCUCAAGCGGGGACAGUUGAUGCUGGCUCUUAGCUAAAAGUUGAGCUGGGCUGUCAGCUGUAGUGCCUAUGUGUGGCCUCUCCAUGUGGCAUGGUGGCUGGGUUCCAAGAGGAAAUGUUCUGUGAGCAAAGAUUCCAAGAGCCAGGCAAAAGCUGCAAGGUCUUUAAAGCUCAAGCCUCAGAAGUCCCAGAACUUCCCUUCUGCUACAUUCUAUUGAUCAAGCAAGUCACUAAGUCCAACCCAGAUUCAAAGGGAGGGAAUUAGACCGCACCUCUUUUUUUUUUUUGUUUUAACACAACCUUGAGA